GAAUAUUUCAUCUACAUGAUUUCAAAUAACUCACUUUCUACAUUGAAGAUGGAAUUUCCAAUCAUGUUCAAUUUUAAAGGCAACUUUUAAAGAUACUCUAGAUGACAUCAGUCAUGCACAGAACAUAGAAUUUUCAAGACGACAGCCAAGUGUAUCUGCAGCGGGCUCCUGCAGCAAGUCAGUACCUAAUACAAGUCACUAUUGUGGAAUCGAUCUUAAUAAUUACUUUAAAAUAUUGUGAGACCUAUAUUUUGUCAUUCUAGUAUUUACAAACAUAUUGUAGUAUUUUAUAUUUCAGUGUCUGAUACUUAAAACCGUUAGUCACAUAGAAGUCUUAUAGCUGUCUCCAAACUCUUUUCUGUCCUGCUAUUCUGUCAAUGGGUGUAGAAAUCAAGACAACACAAAAACCUCCAUAGCUAUAUGUUAAAAUAGCAUGCAGAUAAUUAUUUUAUUAGUAAAUUAAAAAGUUAAGAUGUCCUAAUUUCAAGAGGCUGAAAGUGCUAUAUGAAAUUUCCAGAAGUUUUAUGAAAAUUCCUAAAUUUCUAGAAGCUACAUGAAAUUUCUAGAAAUUAAGUAGAGCUGACAAUAUGAAUCCAAGGAUUGUUUUCUCCUUAUUCAAGCAAUUAUAAUUUAUUUAAUUUUGCCCCUUUAAUAUUCUUCUUAUUAUGAAUCCAAUGCUAACUAUUGCUUUUUGCUUUCUAAACCAACACAUUUUGGAACUAUGAAAACUUACAGCUGAGAAAAAUUGCACAGAUUUAUCAACCAAACAGAGUUAUUGAAGUGUAAUACAGCAGACUGUAGGCCUCACAGAAAAGGACUAUGCAAAAAGAACCCCCUUUAAUCUUGCUCAGCAAAGCCCCCAGGUAUACAUUUUAGUAUAAUUCUGUUCUCAGCUCCCACUCACUUCAAGGAGAUGAACAUGCACAAUUGUAGGAUUCAAGUUCUUGAAAUAAAGCAUGUGCUUCCAGGCCGUGUAGAACAUGAAUUAGGGGUUACCUUAGGAUGUCUGACUGCAAAUUGUGGGAGUUCAGAAGAAACUCAGUGAGCUGUGCAGCUGAUGGCAGGGCAGAAAAUGGUAAUUUGGCAAAGUUUUGUAGUGUAAAUUGUUCCAACUCAUGAGUCCAAGCAAUUAAAAUACCUGUGUGCUUCUUUGCUUGAACUGAAAUUCCCUAGGUAGCUGCAACUGUUCCUACACAUGCUGCACAAACUGACAAUGUCUGAACAGGUUGAGAGCAGUCUUGCUUAAGCCUUAUUAAAUCCAGGAGCUCAGGAAAACAGUGAUGAAGUCUUGUAGAAGUCUCAAUCAAAAGUCCUUCAAAGGCAUUCAGUUAUAGCUCACACCAUUUCAAGGGGUUCCUUUUUAAGGCUAAAAGGUUGUUCACACUGAUAUUUUUAUCUGCUCCUUUAAAGGAAUUAGUGGCAAAACCUACAAAAAAAAGAGGCUUCUCUGUAAACUCAUACAGCCUUUCAGACCUCUUGGGGAUGAGCAUCUGGCAUCAGAUUAAAGAGGCUCUUCUGGGUCAGAGGAACACCUGCAUAUGCUCAUGAGCAUUACCACAGGUGUCUGGAAGUAUGUGCAGCAUCUUGGGAAAAAAGUGGCAGCUCAAGGUGGUUCCAGACCCUUUUUUUUUGUAUUUUGUUUAUGGUUGUUUGGGUUUUUUUGAGCUAGGUGGCAUUACAAGAAUAAAUAGUGUCAUAAUAAUUCUGCAUGUGUAAAUGUGAGUAGCAGUAUUUCAUUGUCUUUCAUAGAUGGUUUGCUGAAACGUUGCAGAAAAAAGAGUUACUCAAUUUCUAUUGUCAUCAAGUGGGUUUUACAGUAAUAUAACAAAUCAGAAGUAGACAAGGCCAUUGAUACUAGCAUCUAUUGGAAAAAUUUGUAUUUUUGUUAUUUACUGAUGUUUAGAAUAAUAAGAUCAAUAAACAGAAUUUGGACUUCAA